UCUAGUACAAUCCCAUGCCAGGCUUAUUAGGCUGGAGACACUCCAUAGUGAAAGAUGUUCUUUUGCUGUUUGCUGGAUUACUGGGGCUCUGGCUUCCAGAAGUUUUUUUGGAUGUUGGAAGCAUUGGCUCAACUCUCACUCCGAAUGCCUCAGGCUUUUUCAGGAAGUUCCAUAAAGUAAUACAGAGUGGUCUAGGGUAAAAAUGCCUCAACUGUGAACAUGAAUGAGACCUGUGCAGUGUGGACCACCCAGGCAGGCCUGCUGAAGAAGCAAGUUUGACAUCAGGUGCCCACCUUCCUUGCAGAGACCCUACCUAUGUCUCCACAUUUCUGGGCACAUACAGAGCUUUUUCACCA